rnacentral:rRNA from 1 species
GACGAACGCUGGCGGCGUGCCUAAUACAUGCAAGUAGAACGCUGAAGAGAGGAGCUUGCUCUUCUUGGAUGAGUUGCGAACGGGUGAGUAACGCGUAGGUAACCUGCUUGGUAGCGGGGGAUAACUAUUGGAAACGAUAGCUAAUACCGCAUAAUAGUAGAUGUUGCAUGACAUUUGCUUAAAAGGUGCAAUUGCAUCACUACCAGAUGGACCUGCGUUGUAUUAGCUAGUUGGUGAGGUAACGGCUCACCAAGGCAACGAUACAUAGCCGACCUGAGAGGGUGAUCGGCCACACUGGGACUGAGACACGGCCCAGACUCCUACGGGAGGCAGCAGUAGGGAAUCUUCGGCAAUGGACGGAAGUCUGACCGAGCAACGCCGCGUGAGUGAAGAAGGUUUUCGGAUCGUAAAGCUCUGUUGUAAGAGAAGAACGAGUGUGAGAGUGGAAAGUUCAC